GGCUCCAUAGUGUAGUGGUUAGCGCAUCUGCUUUACACUCAGAAGGUCCUGAGUUCACGCCCCAGGUGGAGCUA
rnacentral:tRNA from 1 species